GAUGAAGAACGUAGCGAAAUGCGAUAAGUAAUGUGAAUUGCAGAAUUCAGUGAAUCAUCGAAUCUUUGAACGCACAUUGCGCCCCUUGGCAUUCCAAAGGGCAUGCCUGUUCGAGCGUCAUUUGUACCCUCAAGCUUUGCUUGGUGUUGGGCGUCUUGUCUCUAGCUUUGCUGGAGACUCGCCUUAAAGUAAUUGGCAGCCGGCCUACUGGUUUCGGAGCGCAGCACAAGUCGCACUCUCUAUCAGCAAAGGUCUAGCAUCCAUUAAGCCUUUUUUUCAACUUUUGACCUCGGAUCAGGUAGGGAUACCCGCUGAACUUAAGCAUAUCAAUAAGCGGAGGA
rnacentral:misc_RNA from 1 species